rnacentral:misc_RNA from 1 species
AAACUCUCAAGCUUUGCUUGGUAUUGAAGGAUAUCUAAGGAUACCUUUCCAACAAGUUGUGCAAGUAGAUUAAACUUCAAGCGUAGCAAUGUUAUCGCUUAGUUGUGAAAUUGAACUUUGCCUUACAAUCCAAAAACUUCAA